rnacentral:tRNA from 1 species
AUAGUUAAAUUAUAAUAUUUAUUUUGCUAAUAAAAGUUAUUGAAUAAAUUAUUCUUA